GAUGAACGCUGGCGGCGUGCUUAACACAUGCAAGUCGAACGGAAAGGCUCCUGUUUGCCGGGGUACUCGAGUGGCGAACGGGUGAGUAACACGGGGGUGAUCUGCCCUGCACUUCGGGAUAAGCCUGGGAAACUGGGUCUAAUACCGGAUAGGACGAUGGUUUGGAUGCCAUUGUGGAAAGCUUUGCGGUGUGGGUUGAGCUCGCGGCGUAUCAGCUUGUUGGUGGGGUAAUGGCCUACCAAGGCGUCGGCGGGUAGCCGGCCUGAGAGGGUGUACGGCCACAAUGGGACUGAGGGACGGCGCAGAGUGCAACGGGAGGCAGUGGGGGGGAAUAUGACACAAUGAUGGCAAGUGUGUGGCGACGAUCCUGGGUGUGGAAUGACGGCCUUCGGGUGGUAAACUCCUGUCGCUAGGUACGAUGCUCAAGUGACGGUACCUGGAGAAGAAGCACCGGCUAACUACGUG
rnacentral:rRNA from 1 species